CGCAAGGGGAGUGGCAGACGGGUGAGUAACACGUGGGAACCUUCCCUAUAGUACGGAAUAACCCAGGGAAACUUGGAGUAAUACCGUAUACGCCCGAAAGGGGAAAGAAUUUCGCUAUAGGAUGGGCCCGCGUAGGAUUAGCUAGUUGGUGAGGUAAUGGCUCACCAAGGCGACGAUCCUUAGCUGGUUUGAGAGAACGACCAGCCACACUGGGACUGAAACACGGUCCAGACUCCUACGGGAGGCAGCAGUGGGGAAUUUUGCGCAAUGGGGGAAACCCUGACGCAGCAACGCCGCGUGGAGGAUGAAGUCCCUUGGG
rnacentral:rRNA from 1 species